CGUAGCUCCAACAAACGGAUCGCGUCGUCGUUAAGCGGAUUGGCAGAAAGGUUUGAGAGUCAGCAAAGUGGAAGAUUAGUGGGAUAGCUGCAAUAAACGGAACGCGUUGGGAGUUAGUAGUGUCUUCUGUUACCUUUAGUAGUAUUUAUUGCAAAAUGCCGUCCUUGCGAGAGCGCUUUGAGAAUUUCCUGAACGAGAAGAACUUCAUCACCAACUUAUUGGGGAAGAUUGAAGAGAAGACCGGGGUGCGUAAAUACAAUCUAGCCACAGGCUCAAUAACCAUCCUCGGUCUCUAUCUUAUGUUUGGAUAUGGAGCAUCCCUAUUGUGCAAUUUGAUUGGUUUCGUAUACCCAGCUUACUUUUCGAUCAAAGCUAUUGAAAGUUCAGAUAAAGAGGAUGAUACAAAGUGGUUGACGUACUGGGUAGUUUACGGGUUAUUUAGUCUUGCUGAAUUUUUCUCAGACAUCUUCCUUUAUUGGUUCCCUUUUUAUUAUGCUGGAAAGUGUAUUUUUCUGUUGUGGUGCAUGGCACCAGUCGCAUGGAAUGGUUCUCAAAUGAUCUAUAAUCGAAUUGUCCGCCCUCUAUUCCUCAAACAUCAUGCCGUUGUGGAUAGUGUUGUUAAUAAUCUCAGUGGAAAAGCUCUGGAUACAGCAGAAAAUAUGACAAGAGAAGUCUUACAGACACUUUGUAGCAGCAAGAAGUUCGUAAGGACAGAUGCAGGACCUAAACCGUUGCCUAAUGCAUCUGUAUGUAACAAAACAGGCCGGGCUUCUGUUAGACCAGACAGUGAUACUUCUUGGUUUAUCAUGACCUCUUUUUAAUAGAAUCAAUGUGAUCCAAUCUGCUCCAUUAUUAUUGAAAUAUCCUGGUAUACGUUUGUUGAGUUUUAUUUCUCUUCUGUGAUGGCCACACUUUAAGGUGGUCUGAGAGAAUGUGAUCCUUGCCUGUUUUAAAGUAUUAGGUAUCAUAUUAGUGCUCUGAAAGUCAAAAUUGUAACUACAGAGAAUGAGAUCAAUUGCUUUGCUCAUUUUGAGUCCGAGAGCUGCUACUUUGCAUAUAAAUUCAAAUCGUUGGCGAAAUUGAUUCUUAAACAAUACUUACUACAACAAGAAAGAUGAAUUUCAUUUGAAUAACCUAAAGCUAAUCACAAUAACACAUGACUAGUCUCCCAUUCUUCCAUCUGAUGGAAAACCAAUGUCAUGAUAAUCCAAAUUUCUCUCUAGCUGACAAUGUAGUGUCCUUUGUGUAAUUUAAUUAGUUUCCAUCAGCUCUAGUCCCUGCCUUUUUCAUAGUUGAUAUUUUACAAUCAUUUUAAAUAUGCUAUUUCUAGUUAUUGCUUCAUAUCAUCAACUUAUACAUCUUUGUAAUAUGUUGCCCAUCUGGAAGUAAUGCAUUUUUGUUUCAUUACAGUUGAAAGAUAGAUAACAAUAACUUAGCAUGUUAAUUUAGUCCUCACUAAGAGCCGUGCUUCUAUCUCUGCCCUUUUACCGCUAACUUUGAGAGUGUCAUCCAGACAGUAAGAAAAAGAUACAAGUGGGGCUGCAGAAUUUACUUGUGGAAAGAACAACUCUCCUAUAAGACAAUUUAUCUCACUCACUCACUCACUCUCCCUUGUUUUUAGAUGACGCAGUUUUUUAAAAAUACAAAGUAAUGUUGGUGCUUGCUAAAAGAAUUGAGCUUUCCUGUCACUGUAUCCAAUUUAUUUUCUCCUUGGCUAUCUUUUUUUUGUUAUAAUAAAAAGCAGCUUUUAUAUAACCAAGGUUUCUAGUGUUCCUGAGUCAGCGCUAGCAUUCUGAAUGCAACACAAGUCGGAAAAUGUGUACACCUACUAAUUGCCAAUUAGCAAUGGUGUUUUGCAAUGUACAGCACGUGGAAUGCCACUAUUAUUCUCUUGUUUGUUUUUAAAGGCACCUGAUUUCAGUGACCUUCUGGCUAAAAUUAAGUGUGAAAUUUAUCUUGAUUGUUGAAGCAGACCAUUCCAUGAAUUAGCAAUAAAAAUGAGAAAUGCUUAUUUUGGCUGCCAGUUUUCACAUUCAUUCCAAUUUUCUUUUCGGAGUCAACAGGGAAAGAAAAUUGGUUGAGAGCUUUUUUUUUCCCCAAAUAAAAAGCACUGAUGUUUCACUUGACUAAAUCUCUGGGGCUGUCCUGUAUUGAAGCAGAUGUCCUAGGUAGUUAUCUAUGAGGACGUUUGUUUGUUCUGUAAUUUCGAGCUUCCCUUUUCUAGGGUUAUGUGUACACAUCCUGACCAAUCUAAUUCAAUCCACGUCAUCAUCACUGUCACUAACCCUCUCUUUUUCUCCUCCCCCCGCCCCAACUUAUUGCAGAAGACCACAUUCAGCCCCUGCUGCUUUACAUGAAUUUCACCCACAAAUUUAUUUGUAAGUGAAGAUAAACUGCAGUGAAGUACUAAAAGUAGAAUGUUAAACUUGCACAAUGUGAAGUGACAUAAAUAUUUAAACAUUUUUCAGUGGAUUCUGAUCAUGUUUCUGCAUAUUGUAUGAAUGGUAAUGUCGAUGUUUGUUUGCAACAAUGUCAUGCAGACCUUUGGGAACCACAAGAUUUCUUCAAAUCAUGUGACUGUGAUUGGAUUUUCAAAUCAAAUUGUUUGAUCCAAAGAUUCCUUCAUUGACAAUCACUUCAUUGAUAAUCUCAAUGGAAAAGGCGUAAACUAACCAUCAUUUGAUCAUCAAGUUUUUGAUCCUUUAACAGCAACUCAGCCAUUUUUAUUCUGAUCAGCUUGAUCUUGAAGUAACCCAUUAAAACUACCCAUUGUUCAAAUAAUGCCUAAUUAAUUAAAACUUCAGGCCUGACAAAUACACUUACUUUGCAACAAAUACCGUGACCAAAAUUUAUUUCAUGAAUUAUGUUGACCCUUAACACAAGGUAGAAAUUUGCAACUUGUGGAUAUUUUUGGUGUUUAACUGAGUUGGUUAGAUUUUUAAAUGAGACUUCCAACUCAAAAGUGCAGAUAAUUGAGGCUUAUAUGGCCAAUUUGUUCAUAAAUGGGUUUCCAACUUACUUGUCUUUGUCCUCAAAGUACCGUACUUAAGCUUCAGUCCCUAAUUCUGUGCUAUCAAACUGAUCUCUGUUGGGAGGAGAGUCUUUAUCUAUGUUUUAACCACAGCUUUGUGUAGUUUUAUGUCUAAAUGUUGAUCAUGUAUAUGUUUUUGGUCAAUAAUUCUUCUUCAAAAUUGCAUGAUCCUACACUUCCAAACAUUACUUUGAGCUUGCCUCAACACAAGCCCUUUUUGAUGAUACUCAAGUGCCACAAAUACUCAUUAAUUAUUCAGUUUAAUGACUGUGUGAUAUGCACGAUCCACAACAAAUGUGAAUUAUGGGCAGCAUGGGAUUUAAUUUCAGAUCCUUCUACUAAUCUGUUAUAAAUUAAAAGAAUAGUAAGUAGUAGUAAAUUUUAACUAAACCCAUUCUGAAAAAGAGAAAUCAUACCUGGGUGAAGAGAAAAUAAUAAAGGAACAAGAAAAGCUGACAGUUAAUUCUGAGUUGCUGCAGUGUUCAAGUUUUCGGAUUGCUGAACUGCCUUUCUUUUCAAUAUCCUGUUUUCUGGUUAUUUUGUGACCGAGUAUCAAUCCAUACGUAAUGACCAAGAAAACAAAAUGGUUAGUUGAUCAGUAAGCUUAGAGCUGAUAACAUACUUGAUCAGCCUCUUGAUGGAAAUAGAAUGUACUUGUGUCCUGUCUUGUAACCUGUAACUUUUCCUUCUUGCUGCUCAAUACCUUUAGAGUGAGCUGUCAGUAGAUUGACAGGAAGGUAUGCAAGAUGGUUGACCUGUGGCAAUGAAACUGCAUCUUGAAAAAGACAAGAAUAACUGAGGACUAUGAACAGGUAGUCUGCAAGGUCAAGAUAUUGAUCAAUGGAAGAGAGUUGCUGAAAUUAGGACCGAAAAGCUACAAUUCUCAAAGUCACAGGUUAAUCAGCAUCUGAAAGAGAAACAUAGGACAUUCAUUUUCCAGGUGGUAUCGUCUGUUGAAAUCUGAAAUGACUCUUUUUCUCUCUCUCUCUCAAAUGUUGACCCUCUUUCUGUCUCUGUUAUAUUUUGUUUCUAAUUGGGAUUCAACCAGUUUUCUCUAUUAUGUAAGUGGUACGCAGCAAGACCUUAUUGUGCAAACCUCUGAACUGUCUGGGAGAAAUCUUUUUGUAGCAGCUGUGUUCUGGUCAUUCCCAUUUAGAUUGCACAUGGUUCUGUACUUCCAUUCCAAACUUUCACAGUUUUCAUAGGGUGGGGAAGACACCCGCAACACAAUGGGGCAGGAAAUAGUAUCAAAGUUCAGACAAGAUUACUAAAUGUAAUUGUGUAGGAGUAUGCACUAAAUUGAAUAAAUAUCAAAUUUUUAUGAUUACCCUUUGAAAAUCUAAUUCUGAAAUCUAUAGUCAACUAACAGUUGAGGAACAAUUUUGAAUCUAAGGAAUUCUAAGUGAGAUUUUGCAGAAAAUUUUAAAUUUAUGGCUAUGUAUCGGCUGAAGUUGAUGAUAAAGCUUCAAAAUCUGCUUGUGACUCCAAUGGGCAGUUUUUCAUAUUAAAAUUAUACUGUCUGACUGGAAAAUGCAGGUAAUGUGUUCAUAGUGGACUUCUCAUAAAAUUCAGGUCUCCUAUCUUGUUUAGCACACUUAAUACACUGGAUAGUUGUUGUUUAUGUACAUUGUGCUCCCGGACGUGUCCUGCUGCUUCUGGCCUUUGUGUUUUCCUUCACAUUUGAGAACUGGAAUUGUGUUGAGUCAGCUUUCCAACUCUGGUGUAAGACUUCCAGCAGAAGUUCUCAUUAUUAAUAUUAAUAAUAAUAAAUUUUGCAUUGUCCUCCUUUUUCUAGUUAGUACAUUUUUUUGUUUUUACUCUCGUUAGAGGGAAUGAAGAUUCCUAUUGGGACCAGUAUUGGCAUUCAGUUACUUAAACUGCCUUGGUGGGUUGGGGUUGGGGUGCAUUGUAGGGAAGAGAAAAAAACUUUAGCUCUUUAAAUACAGUGACUGACUUUAAUGGGAUUUGGAAGUCUGAAAAGUAAUUCCAUCGUGGCUGUUUUCUGGUGAGGAUGAAAUAAUUUUGGUGUAGAGAUGGUGUUGAAUAAAAGCAACAAGCACUCCCAAUUAUCCAAUGAUUGAUGUGUUUUGUGAUUAAAAUUAGGAUUGAGUGAAUGUUACCAGAGUAUUUUCUUAAACUACGAAUGAUUGAUUUGAAUAUUCUUUAGGAAUCUUCACACCUCCCUACCAAAGCUUUUUUGAGUUUUCUUUUUGCAUUUGUUCUCAAUGGUUUCUUGUUCUAGUGGUUUGAGAAAUAAGUGCCUGGUGAGCAUUCUGUUUUGAAAGCCAAAGUCUUUGGGAUGGAACUCAGUGCACUAUGUCAUCAGUUUAAAAAUGCUAUGGUUGUUUCUGUAAUUUGCAUGUUUAAAAGUUGAUUUGAGUGUUACUAUAGACAUAAUAAAUACAAAUAAUUUCAGAAGGAGUGCAGAAGCAACUUUGAUAAACAUUGGAAGUUGGUCACAAUUUAACAUUUUCGAGAGCAUUUCCUUAUGAGUAUCAAUCUUGAGUCAAUAGGAAAAAGGUUGAUCCCUGCUAGCUUAAAAAAACAUUAAACAACAGGAAAAAAAGUAAAUAUGCACUUUUAAAAAGUGCAAUUCAUCGAGGAGUUUUCCACCUCAGAUUAGCAAUUGCAGGUUUCAAACAGCAGAACAGACAGACAUCCUCACUUUGGAGAAUAAUGUAUAUAAUUUGUUCCUCUCCAAAGGACUAUGCUUUAUUGAUUGCAGGAUCAGUAUGUUUUAAUAAAUUGUUUACUGUGAUUACACCAUUUGUUGCAGAACAAAGAAUGUGUUAGAUGCACUACUUGUUACUUAAAAUAAACUCAAAUUAAUUCAAAAA